UACAGAGGUCUCAAGCGUUGUUCGGAUUCAUUGGGCGUAAAGGGUGCGUAGGCGGCGCGGUAAGUCGGGUGUGAAAGUCACAGGCUCAACCUGUGAAUGCCGCUGGAAACUGUCUGGCUAGAGUCCGGGAGGGGCGAGUGGAAUUCCUGGUGUAGCGGUGAAAUGCGCAGAUAUCAGGAGGAACACCAAUGGCGAAGGCAGCUCGCUGGAACGGUACUGACGCUGAGGCGCGAAGGCGUGGGGAGCAAACAGG
rnacentral:rRNA from 1 species